rnacentral:rRNA from 1 species
GUCCAGACUCCUACGGGAGGCAGCAGUGAGGAAUAUUGGUCAAUGGUCGGGAGACUGAACCAGCCAAGCCGCGUGAGGGAUGAAGGUACAGAGUAUCGUAAACCUCUUUUGUCAGGGAACAAAGGCGGGGACGCGUCCCCGGAUGAGUGUACCUGAAGAAAAAGCAUCGGCUAACUCCGUGCCAGCAGCCGCGGUAAUACGGAGGAUGCGAGCGUUAUCCGGAUUUAUUGGGUUUAAAGGGUGCGUAGGCGGAGUGUCAAGUCAGCGGUAAAAUUUCGGGGCUCAACCCCGUCGUGCCGUUGAAACUGACACCCUUGAGUGAGUGAGAAGUAAGCGGAAUGCGUGGUGUAGCGGUGAAAUGCAUAGAUAUCACGCAGAACCCCGAUUGCGAAGGCAGCAUACCGGCGCCCUACUGACGCUGAGGCACGAAAGUGCGGGUAUCGAACAGGAUUAGAUACCCGUGUA